UACGAAGGGGGCUAGCGUUGCUCGGAAUCACUGGGCGUAAAGCGCACGUAGGCGGAUUGUUAAGUCAGGGGUGAAAUCCUGGAGCUCAACUCCAGAACUGCCUUUGAUACUGGCGAUCUUGAGUCCGGGAGAGGUGAGUGGAACUGCGAGUGUAGAGGUGAAAUUCGUAGAUAUUCGCAAGAACACCAGUGGCGAAGGCGGCUCACUGGCCCGGUACUGACGCUGAGGUGCGAAAGCGUGGGGAGCAAGCAGG
rnacentral:rRNA from 1 species